GGGAACCGCGAAUGGCUCAUUAAACCAGUUAUGAUCCACUAGAUGGAAAACCCAUUACUCGGAUAACCCUGGUAAUUCUAGAGCUAAUACGUGCUACAUGCUCCGACCGAGAGGGAGGAGUGCUUUUAUUAGAUGAAAACCAAUCGGACCUCGGUCCGUCUCACGAGAACGUGACGAUUCUGAAUAACUUUGUGCAGAGGGCACGGUCUCCGCACCGGCCCCGUGUCUUUCGAGUUUCUGCUUUAUCAUGCUGUGGAUUGUAGGCCAUACGCCUACAGUGGCUGUAACGGAUGACGGAGAAUCAGGGUUCGAUUCCGGAGAGGGAGCCUGAGAAACGGCUACCACAUCCAAGGAAGGCAGCAGGCACGCAAAUUACCCAAUCCCAGCCCGGGGAGGUAGUGACGAAAAAUAACGAUGCGGGACACUUCUGUGUCUGCGUAAUCGGAAUGAGCACACCCCAAACCAUUGUGCAACAACCGAUUGGAGGGCAAGUCUGGUGCCAGCAGCCGCGGUAAUUCCAGCUCCAAUAGCGUAUAUUAAAGUUGUUGCGGUUAAAAAGCUCGUAGUCCGAGCUCAGUUCCGGACUGGCCGGGGAGGUCACCGCCCGGUGCCUUGCCUGGGCCAGGCUCCGAACCAAUGCUCCCGGUCUCCGGGGGCGACACGCCGGUGCUCGCCGGGGUGCUCUUGACCGAGUGUCCCGCGCGGCCGGCCAGUUCACCUUGAAUAAAUGAGAGUGCUCAAAGCAGGCUACUCUUGAAACCUAAAGCCCGAAUGUUACCUGCAUGGAAUGAUGGAAGAUGAUCUCGGUUCCAUUUUAUUGGGGGUGGGAAUCCGAGUUAAUGAUAAACAGGGACUGUCGGGGGCAUCCGUACUACGACGCGAGAGGUGAAAUUCAGUGACCGUCGUAGGACGAACGACAGCGAAAGCAUUUGCCAAGAAUGUCUUCGUUGAUCAAGAACGAAAGUUAGAGGAUCGAAGGCGAUCAGAUACCGCCCUAGUUCUAACCCUAAACGAUGCUGACUAGCAAUUCGCCGUCGUUAUUCCCAUGACGUGGCGAGACGCCCCCGGGAAACCUCAAGUCUUUGAGUUCCGGGGGUAGUAUGGUUGCAAAACUGAAACUUAAAGGAAUUGACGGAAGGGCACCACCAGGAGUGGAGCCUGCGGCUUAAUUUGACUCAACACGGGGAACCUCACCAGGCCCGGACACCAGAAGGAUUGACAGACCAAGAGCUCUUUCUCGAUUUGGUGGGUGGUGGUGCAUGGCCGUUCUUAGUUGGUGGAGUGAUUUGUCUGGUUAAUUCCGGUAACGAACGAGACUCUGGCCUACUAACUAGUCGACGGGGUCUAUCGCCUCUUCGGGGCAAGGGCCCCGGUCGACAAUGUCUUCUUAGAGGGAUGAGCGGCGAGUAUAGCCGCAGGAGACUGAGCAAUAACAGGUCUGUGAUGCCCUUAGAUGUCCUGGGCCGCACGCGCGCUACACUGAAUGGGUUAGCGGGUUCUCCUUCUCCGAGAGGAGCGGGAAAUCGCGUGAAAACCAUUCGUGAUAGGGAUUGGGGCUUGCAAUUGUUUCCCAUCAACGAGGAAUUCCCAGUAAGCGCGAGUCAUCAGCUCGCGCUGAUUAAGUCCCUGCCCUUUGUACACACCGCCCGUCGCUACUACCGAUUGAAUGGAUUAGUGAGGCCUUCGGACUGGCGGUCUCGGACUGGGCUCCGCCCGCCCGGCCCUCGCGGUCGGCGGCGGACCCGCCCUGACGAGCCGGAAAGAUGUCCAAACUUGUCUAUUUAGAGGAAGUAAAAGUCGUAACAAGGUUUCCGUAGGUGACGGG
rnacentral:rRNA from 1 species